AACGAACGCUGGCGGCAUGCCUAACACAUGCAAGUCGAACGAUGGUCUUCGGAUCAUAGUGGCGCACGGGUGCGUAACGCGUGGGAAUCUGCCCUUGGGUUCUGAAUAACAGUUGGAAACGACUGCUAAUACCGGAUGAUGUCGAUAAGACCAAAGAUUUAUCGCCCGAGGAUGAGCCCGCGUCGGAUUAGCUAGUUGGUGGGGUAAAGGCCUACCAAGGCGACGAUCCGUAGCUGGUCUGAGAGGAUGAUCAGCCACACUGGGACUGAGACACGGACCAGAAUCCUACGGGAGGCAGCAGUGGGGAAUAUUGGAGAAUGGGCGCAAGCCUGAUCCAGCAAUGCCGCGUGAGUGAUGAAGGCCUUAGGGUUGUAAAGCUCUUUUACCCGGGAAGAUAAUGACUGUACCGGGAGAAUAAGCCCCGGCUAACUCCGUG
rnacentral:rRNA from 1 species